rnacentral:rRNA from 1 species
UACGUAGGGCGCAAGCGUUGUCCGGAAUUAUUGGGCGUAAAGAGCUCGUAGGCGGUUUGUCGCGUCUGCUGUGAAAACCUAAGGCUCAACCUUGGGCUUGCAGUAGGUACGGGCAGACUAGAGUGCGGUAGGGGUGACUGGAAUUCCUGGUGUAGCGGUGGAAUGCGCAGAUAUCAGGAGGAACGCCGGAGGCGAAAGCGAGUGACUGGCGCGUUCCUGACGCUGAGGUGCGAAAGCUAGGGGAGCAAACAGG